rnacentral:ncRNA from 1 species
CCUGCUGAAUUUAAGCAUAUUAGUUAGUAGAAGAGAAGAAACUUAAAAAGGAUUCCCUCAGUAACAGCAAGUAAACAGGACUGAAUCUCUGUCCCACAGUGGGGCCCCAAAAAGGUAGUAUACAGAAAACCCGAUCCCCAGUGCUGCUAAUAGCUAAAGUCCUGAUUGAGGCCCAGCCUGUGGAUGGUGGUAGCAGUUCCUGGUACACUGGGCCUAGGCAUUACUGGAGUUGUGUUGCUUGAGAAUGUAGCCCAAAGUGGGUGGCAAACUCCAUAUCUAAGGCUAAAUGCCAGCACAAAUUAACAAGUACCAUAAGGGAGACCUGGAAAGAACUUUAAGAGAGACAGUUCAAGAGUAUAUGAAACUGGCCUGAUGCCUGUAGCACAG